rnacentral:lncRNA from 1 species
GACCAGCCUGGGCAACAUGGCGAAACUCUGUCUCUAUAACAAAUACACCAAAAAUUAGCUAGGCAUGGUGGUGUGUGCCUGUAGUCUCAGCUAUUUGCAAGGCUGAUGUGGGAGGAUCACUAGAGCCCAAGAGGUCGAGGCUGCAGUGACCUGUGAUUACACUACUGCACUCCAGCCUGGGAGACAGAGUGAGACCCUUUCUCUCUCAAAAAAAAAAAAAAAAAAUGUACCCAUAUUUGUCUUCAUCAGGUAUGGUAAGAUGACAGACACAGAGAAAACUAUCUCUGCAAGAAGAGUUUGUUAUGCAGUUCCCAGGAGGAGAGGUGUGUCACGCCUUGCAGGGCCACACAGGAAGAACUUGGGUCAGCCAAGAGGACCAUGCAAGCUCCUUCCUGCCAGAGGCUCUGUUCUGGGUUCUACCUGGCCUGGACUCUGAGGGCUCUGAGCAGGGAAGGGUUAGAACCCAGCAUGGAUCAAACAUUUGAGAUGAAUCAGCACUGAUAGGUUAGGGGAAAAAAAAUUAAAAGAAAAUGAACAAUGUAUUUUCCACGUCAAGAUGCCUGAACUUCCCAUAACAGCUGUCACUUUGAGAAGCCAUAAGACAAAGGGCCAGGUCUCCAUAGGUCAUUAUUCUUACCAGGCGGGGUCAACUUCCUCUAUUAACACCCAUGCACGUAUCAGAAGCUACCCAUGAAAGGCCAAGGGCCUAUAGCAAAGCUCAUAAAUAAUAAAAUAUACAAUGCCAUUUAUUGUAAUUCUAGAAAAGUUUUUUACAGAAUGCUUUUGUUGAUUUUUGCUGACUCUUGUAUCCAACCUGUUUGCAAUUCAACCAUGAUAUGACACAACCAGACUACAAAUAAAUGUUUG